rnacentral:tRNA from 2 species
GCGGUCGUGGCGGAAUUGGUAGACGCGCAGCGUUGAGGUCGCUGUGGGGCAACCCGUGGAGGUUCGAGUCCUCUUGACCGCACCA